AAAUAUCAAAAAAGUAAGGCAAGAAAAUUUCCAAGAACUGAAGGAUGUUAAGUCUGCAGAAAGCAAGGACCUACUUAGCGCACAGCACAAUAAAUGAAAAAUACAAUACCUUAAAACUUCAGAACACUAGGCACAAAGAGAAGAUAAUAAAUACUUCCAAAGAGAAAAAUAACUAAAAGGUCAGGAGCCAGAAUGGCACUGGACUACUAAACAGCACAACUGGAAGUUAGAAGGCAGUAGAGCAACACUGCAAAAAUUCUGAGUAAAAAUGAUUUUCAAUCUAGAAUUCUACACUCACCUAAAAUAUCACAUAAUUGUAGGAAUAGAAAAUGACAUAUUCAAGCAUGUAAAAUCUCAAAAAAUUUACCUCUCAGUUAUCCCUUUUCAGGAAGCCAUUAGAGGAUAUGCUCCUGUAAAUGAGGGAAUAAACCAUGAAGGUAUGGGGCACAGGAAAUCAAGGCUCCAACACAGGAAGCAGGUGUAGGGAAUUUCCAGGAUGAGAGCAAAGAGAAGUCUUAUGACAACAGCUGUGAAAGAGACCUAGGGAGCAGUCAAGAUUAAAUCAGAAAAACUGAAGGCUCUAGGAAGGAUAUCUUAGGAAAAUAACCAAACUAAUUAUCUCACAGGUGAAAGAUAUUACAAAGAUGGAUUGAAGUGUGUGGGAAGAAACUCAGAUAACAAUGGCUAAUACUGAACCAUUUUGACUACUGUCGCUUCACAGGAAGUCUAUACAUCAGAGAGAGAAUGUGAGUGAGUGUUGGAGUGAGGGGCAGAGAGAGAAGAGAAUCCCAAGCUGACUCCAUGCUAAGCACAGAGCCCAAUGUGGGGCUGGAUCCCAGGACCCCCAGAUCACGAGCUGAGCUAAAACCAACAGCUGGAUGCUUAACCAACUGCACCACCCAGGGACUACUUAUUUGGGAUGGAGAGGAUCUUAUCCUGACAGGAAGGAAGCUCUGCCUCCAGAAGGACUGUUCCAUACACAGAGCCAGGCAAAGUCACUGUUCUUUCAGUCUCCCUUUUACAUAUAUCCAGCCCCAGGAGAAUAUACACAUUCAUGCAGUAAUCUUCCAGUUCAAGUACAGUAUUGUAUCAAGUGACAUCUUUCAUGCUAUAUCCAAUUUAUUUAAAAUUUAAAAACUUUAUAUAAAAACACUGUCCUGCAUUUACAUGUGGUUCAUUUUUAAUUCUUCAAAUAAAACUGACAGAAAUG